AACCUAGCACACCUGCGGUGUGUACCUGCGGAGGGAUCAUUGCAGUUUGAAGUGGAGAGGUUGGAUGAGGAUUGGAUGAGGAUGAUUUGGUUCAUCGUUAUUGAUGAAUUUGGUUCAUCGUCAUUGAAUUUGGUUCAUCGUCAUUGAUGAAUUUGGUUCAUCUUUACCACCUAUCCAAUCACAUUUGUGCUUGUUUUGUUUGACAGAGUGUAAAUAAUGGUUUAAUUAUUGACAACUUUU
rnacentral:misc_RNA from 1 species